rnacentral:rRNA from 1 species
AUGCCUGGUCAAAAAAGUUGGAAUCAUGAUCUCAUAUUUUCUCUUUUCCAGCAGCCUCUUGCGUCGCAAAUUGUUAACACUGAAAUUAUUGAUGAUGAUGGUCCGGAUUUGCUGUGUUGGGAUCUCACCCCAAAUGGUAUUUGCUCUUCUAAAUCUGCUUACAAGCUUUGCCUCCAGGAGCUUCAUAAUAAUCCUAGAAAUGCCCCUAUGGAUAUUCCUUUGGAUUUGAAAGACUUUCUCAAGCUCAUUUGGAAGCAAAAAAGUUUGCUCCCUCGUGUUCAAACUUUUGCUUGGAGACUUCUUCGAAGGGCUUUGCCUAUGGGCAUGAGAGCUGGCCGCUUCUCUGUUCACAUCUCUUCAUCUUGUUGUAGAUGCGGACAGCAGGAGGAUGAAUUUCACCUCUUUUUUCUCUGCGGCUUCGCGAGAGCAGCAUGGUUUUCUUCGCCUUGGUUUAUUCGAGCGGAUGUUCUUACUCAAGGGCACUCUUCUAUGCAUUCCAUUCUCAUCUUUCUUAUUAAUAUGAGUCACCCUCAUGCCUCUAUUCAGAAUGUUCUUAAUUUUUUAUGGUGCCUGUGGAAAGCUCGAAAUGAUUUUCUUUUUGAUAGGAAAAAUCAUCUUCCUCAUCAGGUUAAUAUUGCUACUACAACUUUGGACUUUGGGCAUUUGCAUAAUCUUCACAAUCCUUCUUCUGAGCAGCCUCUGUCUACUAAUCAUCAUUCUACUGAUAUUUUACCUAAGCAGGGCAAAACGCUUAAAUCGGAUUUGUUAAUUUUUGGGACUAAAAUUUUCUCUGAUGCAGCAUUUAGAUCGUCCAAAAUCCCAGGACUCGCUCGAGGACAUGUGGGCACAGGUAUAGGUGUUUAUAUUUCCAUGCCUUCGGAUCAAGGUGAGAUUAGUAUUCAGGUUCAAGCUUCGGCCUCUUCAACGUCAACUCCCCUUCAACCUGAGGCAGUUGCCCUUUCUUGUGCAGCUCACCUUGCCGCUCAGCUUAAUAUUACUAAUCCCACAUUUCUGACGGACUGUCUUUCUCUUGCUUCUGCUGCUACCUCAAGAAAUAUUUCAGAUUCUCCUGCUCAAUGGAACAUUAGAAAACAGUUGGCUACUUUUCUCAAAGUUACGUCUAAUUUAGCUGCUCAAGUGUUUCAUGUUUCCAGGGAAAUCAAUGGUGUCGCUCAUAAUCUGGCUCAGCAGGUUUUCCAAUCUGUCCGAGAGACACAAGUUGCUUGUUUUGCUCAUGCUCACUCAAAUUCUCCAUGUCCAGUGGUGGCCCUUCUUUCAAACUUUCAACUUGCAGAUAUUCAACUGCACACGAUGCAUUGCUUCUAA